rnacentral:lncRNA from 1 species
UGGGACUGUUGGGAGAGGAGGUGGUUCCCAUCAGGAGCAGACUGGGACCGUUGGGAGAGGAGGUGGUUCCCAUCAGGAGCAGACUGGGACCGUUGUGGGAGGAGGUGGUUCCCAUCAGAAGCAGACUGGGACCGUUGGGGAAGGAGGUGGUUCCCGUCAGGAGCAGACUGGGACCGUUGUGGGAGGAGGUGGUUCCCAUCAGGAGCAGACUGGUACCGUUGGGGGAGGAGGUGGUUCCCGUCAGGAGCAGACUGGGACCGUUGGGAGAGGAGGUGGUUCCCAUCAGGAGCAGACUGGGACCGUUGGGGGAGGAGGUGGUUCCCAUCAGGAACAGACUGGGACCGUUGGGGGAGGAGGUGGUUCCCAUCAGGAGCAGACUGGGACCGUUGGGGGAGGAGGUGGUUCCCAUCAGGAACAGACUGGGACCGUUGGGGGAGGAGGUGGUUCCCAUCAGGAGCAGACUGGGACCGUUGGGGGAGGAGGUGGUUCCCAUCAGGAACAGACUGGGACCGUUGGGGGAGGAGGUGGUUCCCGUCAGGAGCAGACUGGGACCAUUGGGGGAGGAGGUGGUUCCCAUCAGGAACAGACUGGGACCGUUGUGGGAGGAGGUGGUUCCCGUCAGGAGCAGACUGGGACCGUUGGGAGAGGAGGUGGUUCCCAUCAGGAGCAGACUGGGACCGUUGGGGGAGGAGGUGGUUCCCAUCAGGAACAGCCUUGGACCGUUGUGGGAGGAGGUGGUUCCCGUCAGGAGCAGACUGGGACCGUUGUGGGAGGAGGUGGUUCCCAUCAGGAGCAGACUGGGACCGUUGUGGGAGGAGGUGGUUCCCAUCAGGAGCAGACUGGGACCGUUGGGGAAGGAGGUGGUUCCCGUCAGGAGCAGACUGGGACCGUUGUGGGAGGAGGUGGUUCCCAUCAGGAGCAGACUGGGACCGUUGGGAGAGGAGGUGGUUCCCAUCAGGAGCAGACUGGGACUGUUGGGAGAGGAGGUGGUUCCCAUCAGGAACAGACUGGGACCGUUGGGAGAGGCGGUGGUUCCCAUCAGGAGCAGACUGGGACUGUUGGGAGAGGAGGUGGUUCCCAUCAGGAGCAGACUGGGACCGUUGGGGAAGGAGGUGGUUCCCAUCAGAAGCAGACUGGGACCGUUGGGAGAGGAGGUGGUUCCCAUCAGGAGCAGACUGGGACUGUUGGGAGAGGAGGUGGUUCCCAUCAGGAGCAGACUGGGACUGUUGGGAGAGGAGGUGGUUCCCAUCAGGAGCAGACUGGGACCGUUGGGGAAGGAGGUGAGGAGGAUUCGUUUUUGUUGUUGCAUGAUUUAAAAAAUAUAUUUAAAAUUUUUUAUUUAACCUUUAUUUAACAAGGCAAGUCAGUUAAGAACAAAUUCUUAUUUACAAUGACGGCCAAACCCGGCCAAACCCGGACGACGCUGGGCCAAUUGUGCGCCGCCCUAUGGGACUCCCAAUCACGGCCAGAUGUGAUGCAGCCUGGAUUCAAACCAGGGAGUGUAGUGACGCCUCUUGCUCCCGAAUGUGGCACAGUGGUCUAUCAGCAUAAAAAUACAUGCAGACAGAUGAAAGUUAAAUCAAUUCAACCACUCAUGAAGAUGCACUGUUACCCAGUCUAUUGUCAACUAAACUAAAUGUUCUGUUUGUUGCCUGCCUUUUUCUAAGGUACCAUCCGUUUACAUCAUGUUUUUUUGGUUUUUUUUCUAACACAACUUUUGUUUACAUUUUAUAAGCUCAUACAACUGCAUUUUAAAAUCAUCAAAGAUGACACUCAAGUUUACCAACGUGUUUCCAUUGUGCUCUUGUUUAGGUGCCUAUGAGGAUUAGGCUGAGGUUAGAGGUGGCGCCUCCUAUGAGGAGUAGACGGGUGGAGACUACAGUGCCUAUGAGGAGCAGGCUGGGAGCCAUGGUCAAAGAGGAGAUCCAGCCAGCUUCUCCACGCAUGGUGCAGCCAGCCAGGUAUAUCAUACUGACUGCCCUCUUCGUGACUCAAGACUGCUGGCUCAGAUAUUUUAUUUUCACAUUGUUGUAGCAGCAGGGUUCCAGCAUGGGUCACUGAAAACAAUCUGGCCCCAUAAUAUAUCUGAUGCCAGUCUGAUCUAAGCGGACUGAUGGCCAUAGGCUAGUUAGCUAACCAUGCACCUAAACUAGGCUGGAAACUAACAAAACCAUAAUGCUUUUGUAUGUAUGUCCCCCUCUCCCUUCUGUCUCCCUUCUGUCUCCCUUCUGUCCCCCUCUCCCUUCUGUCCCCCUCUCCCUUCUGUCUCCCUUCUG